CGCCACUUUUCUGCCCAGGGGUGUGUCUUCUGGGAUGCUCACGGAGGUAUCUGAAGUGAUGUCAAACUCUGGACUGUUGUCGUUUUCAUCCAGGAUGGUGAUGGACACCUGUCAAGAACAUUAUUGGGAUCCAUCCCAGGCCUGCUCUGAUGUUGUGGAAAAGGCCCGUCAAAGCACGACGUGCGUCACUUGGUUGCUAAACAACCCUUUAAUCAUCACGGGAAGUGAAUGGAGGAAGUUCGAAGUGUGGAAAAGCAGCAAUUUAAAAACCAGAUACUGAGGACAUUUUUGCAAACAAAAAAAAAAAAAACAA